GGGCCAUAAAACAUCACUAGGGUCUGAAAACCAAAAACUUUUUAAGAUUUCCCGUCACAUCAAAUCUUGGAGCACAUGCAUGAAGCAUUAGAUAUAAGAUGAAAAUAAAAACUAAUUGGACAGUUUGCCUGUAAAUCACGAGAUAAAUCUUUUGAGCCUAGUUAUUAAUCUAUGAUUGAAUAAUGUUUGUCAAAUAAAAAUGAAAAUGCUACAG
rnacentral:lncRNA from 1 species